CUGUAAAUAUCCUUCUCCAUGUCUUGAUAUCAUGACAGCCAAGGCAGGCAAGACAUUCACUACAGGAAGACAAUGCCCGUGUCCCCAGAUCUAGUUCUUUCCCUAAGUCUGGCUUUAUAAAUGCUGGUGAUACAC